UACGUAGGGGGCAAGCGUUUGUCCGGAUUUAUUGGGCGUAAAGAGCGUGUAGGCGGCUUUACAGGUCCGUUGUGAAAACUCGAGGCUCAACCUCGAGACGCCGGUGGAAACCGUAAGGCUAGAGUCCGGAAGAGGAGAGUGGAAUUCCUGGUGUAGCGGUGAAAUGCGCAGAUAUCAGGAAGAACACCCGUGGCGAAGGCGGCUCCUCUGGGACGGUACUGACGCUGAGACG
rnacentral:rRNA from 1 species